GGACUACCGGGGUAUCUAAUCCGUUUUGCUCCCCACGCUUUCAUGCCUCAAUGUCAGUAGCAGAAUAGUUAACUGCCUUCGCUAUAUUGGUGUUCUUCCAUAUAUCGUCACAUUUUACCGCUCCACAUGGAGUUCCGUUAACCUCUCCUACACUCGAGUAUGAUAGUAUUAUCAACUUCCACGAGGUUAGGCCUCGAUUUGCCACUGAUAACUUAUCACACCAUCUACGCAUCCUUUACGCCCAAUAAAUCCGGAUAACGUUCGCCACCUAUGUCUUACCGCGGCUGCUGGCAC
rnacentral:rRNA from 1 species